GCAUUACCUCCGCGCCCCCCACCACCACCUCUGCAUGCUGCGGGGCCCAGUGCCAGGAAGACCGGGGGUGACUUUGUUCCCCGUGACCGAGGCCGAGUCCAGGCUGGGUGAGGUUGCGGUACAGGCUAGCCGCAGAGCCACGCGUGUGUUUUCAACCUUUGCAGAGUCGCGCGUGCGUAACAUCCCCCACCUGGGGAGAGGCUCUUCAGAAGAGCUUCACACGUCUCUGGGGGGUGCAGGGACCCCCCGCCCACCUUGCUCCCAUCAGAGUUGGGACCCCUGACCAGCUGCCCCUGACUGCAGGCACUCGUGUGAUCGGCCGUGAACUUUGUUCACAGUGGGGCCAUCUGGACUCUGAAAUGGGAAGGGGUUGGUGUCUAAGCUCACGGCCACCCCCGCCCUGCUGGUAACUCCCCCAGCCCAGUGUUCCCACUGGUGGGUUUCACUGUUAAUGCUCCCCCAAGUCAACGGGGGACCCCAAGCCCUGAGUCCCAGCGUCGCUUACAGAAAAGCCGACUUCCAUGACAAACAUACGUUUGAGGCACUUUGCUCUUUCUUUUUUUCUCCCCCCACCCCAAGUUUGGGAGGUUGGGUUGGCGGAGGGGUUAUCCGUGGACAAGCUCGACAUUAGAAAAAGGAAAAAAAAAAAACUGGUGCCUAAUUUAUUAAAAAUUAGCUUAGGAAUAUGCUGACUUUUCAAUACACGUGAACACGAUGCAAUUUAUAAAUGUUUUAUUGAAAUCUGAUAUUUAACGAGAAAGCGGUUGAGGAAUGUAGAAAAAAAUGUUCAAGUUGCAAAGCUAUUAAAACGUGCUAUUUAUUGAGAGGCGAUGGUUUCCCCAAGCCAGCCCCGCAGUACGCGGAGCUCCCGUGUCCGAGAGGGGCUCGCUCCUUUGCUCCCUGGGAGUAAGUAUAUGUGGAUGUUAUUUAUUUCUCCCCCACCCCUUCGGUUGAAAGUUCCUAAAUAUGUGCUAUCUUAAUUAUGUUGAGUGUAAAUUUGACGUUGCCUUGCCUUUCUUUUUAUAUAUUUUUUAAGCCUGUUGCUUUGCCCCCCCAGCCCUCUCUCCUUUCUUCCCUGAGUUUACGAGCAGCGACGGUAACUUAGGACACAGCGCCCGGGUUUGGGUUAUGCAUACAAGGCGUGUACGCGCGGGUUUUCAGGGAUCGCUCACACGAAAUCACACAGCAGCCCCCACCAACCCCGCAACCCCGCAACCCCGCUAUUGUGGGGCGAAAAGAAAAACAGGCCAAAGGUUUUCUUGGCUGUGCUCGCCGGCCACCCACCCCCCCCACCCCUGACCCCACACGCAAAAUCCCCUCAAGUUCAGUUCUACUUACAAAGUGUAUUUUGUCAAACCAUAUAGUAUGAAUGUACAUCUUGUAAAACG
ensembl:lncRNA